rnacentral:lncRNA from 1 species
UUCUAGCUUGUUAGCGGUUACCUUAAAUGGCGUAAGAAUGGCUAGACACGUUAGGUAUAGUGUGGCCUCUGUCCAUGUGUAUAGGCUGCGGGUUAUGUGCCAUGGAAGGGGGGCUCUAUAUCUGCCUGCCGAGUGAAUCUAAUGGCCAUAACUUGUUAGACGAAACCUUUGAAAGGCUUCAUAGUGAUCCCUGCCGACCUCCCUAGGAAGGGGGUUAAGAGACUCAUGACCUCGGGCGAAAGGGUAAAUCAUGACUCAUGGGUAAAGAUGUACAACCUCUGUAGAGUGUUAAAUCUGGUAUACUAGCCGUGCCCACGGAUACGGGCGGCCCGAAAAACUGACGGAAUAGAUGGACACUGAUGAAUAUGACUAAUGAUAAUAAAUGAUGGUUUAUUAUGUUGUUUAUAUGUGUUAUUCUUAAUUCUUGUAUACAUUGAUCAUGUGGUUAUGGGAUUUAAUUAUGCUACCUUGACAAUUGCUAUCUAAAUAUAAAUAUGUUAUCUACAUAUAAAAGCUAAAUGCAGUCAAACCAGUGUCAGCUUAUUAAGCCUCAUGAACCCCUGGUUAUACUUGUUGAGUACGAUAUGUGCUCACUCUUGCAAUUUCCCCCACACUUCAGGAGAUGCUUUAGGUUUGUGAUCAACUAGUCAGUUUGAUCCUGUGGAGAGGAGUUAAUACCCGAAGUUUGGAGUUGUCUAUCCGCUGUUUAUUAUCAAAGGUUAUCUCUCUUUUAUACUAAGUACGUUAUAUAUUUAUGCAUUGUCUUUUGAUAUUACCCCUUAUUUGUAGCUAUAUGUGAGAUUUGUUUUCUAAAACUCACAUAUGGUGCAUAUCUGGUUUUGUCCUUAAAAUCGGGUAUUACAAAUCAAGAUAGAGAUUAGAGAGAUAGAGUAGAGGAGUAGAGAUUCGGAGGAGUCCUAGCCUGUUGGAGCUUCCUUAGGAGCCGUAUUCGUCUGGAUUCGGCUCCCUCGCCUGGAACCGCGUUCUGAGAUACUUUUGUAUUUACCCUUCUGAUUCUUGUAAGCAACUUGUUUGUAUUCGUUCUUUGGUUUGCAACUCAUAUUAUAUUGAGUACUACGAUUUGGGUAGCUCCUAGGUCGGAGUUGUGAUUCGUAGCAUAGACAUGGUAUCUAGGCUAUGGUUGCUUGUGAAUGUCCCCUAAUCAGUGAGAUAGUGGUAGUUCAUGUAGGUGACUUUAUAGCUGCGUUGAUUCCUCUAUAGUCCACUUCCAUUGAUAGGAUUGACAUCCUUAUAGGUGCCACAUAGGGGAUUAUUCUGAUUCUUCCCCUAUUCGGGUUACUUGCCCGAUAAAACGAUACUAUACAAAGUUUACCGGUUAUUGGAACCAGAGUACAUUAGUAUUUCCUCAUCAUCAAUACUUUUCUAGAUUGAUUGUGCCCCCUCAGAUUAAGAAUUAUAGGCUAAGUCAUAAAUCACCUAUUGUUUCUUUGGGUUCGAUAUUACAACUGGGUUGAUCUUGGUGAAGUGCUGAUCUGUGUGCGCUUGCAGAUAAUCUGAUUAUAAUCACUAUUAGGGUGUAGUUAAUUUAUAGCAAUAGAAUACAAAUAAAUAUUUACUGCUUUAAUUUCUACAUCAUAAAUAUCCAGCCCUAUGUGAAUAAACUUAUGGUAACCCCUUAGGAAUAUUUACUGUGGUGGCAUAAAAAAUAUAGCAUUCAUAUUUAAAUUCCUGCAUCAUAAAUAGAAAAUUCAAAAAUAAGAGAAAACUGAAAUCCUAUUUAAAUUAGACAAUAAUAAAGCUAGCUCAUAAAGGUGAUCAAUUACUCUUUGGCUGACCGCUAAUCCAUUAACAAAUUCGAGCCUUGAGUUUUGGUUUCUCUUUGUGGAGAGUAUUUAUGUAGGAAUAACAUCAUAGCAAGGAGAUAGUCUAUCAGUGGCACCCACCAGGUCUGCUAUUGGUUAGCUCACUCUAAAGGACAUCUACACCAAGUAUUGCAACCAUCCAACUUGGGGGAGGAGCAUCCUCUAGUUAUCAGGUAAUUAUACCUAAGUGAUUUUGAGUCUAUAUAGUCAUAAUAAUACCAAAAAUGUGUGGGCAUAUGAAGGUUCACAAGUCAUAGAGUUUUUUUUGUGAGUUUAUAAUAAGUUAAGUGUCAGAGUCUAUUUAGAGUCAGUCUAAACUAGAGCUAAACAAAAAUUGAUGAACAUUAAAAUUGUCUUGGAGAUGAUGAAUAAUUGCUUUGUUAUAAUUCUUUACAAGUACCUAGAUUCCAACAUUAGAUUCUCUCGAGUUUUGGACAUGACUGUUUUAAUUUGAAGGUUACUCUGAACCUGCAACUUGUGGAGGCAUAAGUUUGAGCUAAGUCUAGAUAGUUGGUUGAUAUGAUCAUUGAAAGUCUGAGCUGCUAUUUAUCUUAUUCCUAGCAUUAUUAAGUUCUGGAGAUUUAUUUUGGAAAUUUAAAAUUUACAUGAUGAGCUCUUGUAUGGCAAGUUUGAAUUCCUACCAAUGCCAUAUAUAAUAUACAUUUAGAGUUAGGAAAACUUUUGCACAUUUAUGCUACUUGCUUUGCAUUAAGUUCAGUCAACCUUUGUAGUAUACCUUACGAGAGUCUUGUCAUGCUUUUAAAACCAAGAUCACGUACAAACGUUAGUUCACAUAUGCAUUAUUCCUACACUGGGAGUAAACACCUCAUAAACCAUACCCAUAAGAUAAAGCCCAUCAUUAAAGUCCUAAGUUCUUACUAUUACCUCUCUGAUCAUUUAUUGUAUUCAAAGGAUACAUGUGGCUAUGCAAAAAUAUAAAAGAAGAAAAGGGAGUAAAAGAUGGACAAGUGUCUCAGUAAUUAAAACAAUGGGUACUAGAUGCCCGCCUCCCUGAGAAAAAAAAUAUAUAAGAUAAUAAUAAAGAUAGCCCAUGUUUUUCCCACGAAAAGUUCCAAGAUCAAAAGAGAGAUUUAUCCUCAAGGAGCAAAAGUAGAAAUAGAAAUUAGCCACAAAUACCACAAAUGCACCCAUCCACCAUAUUCCAUACACAUGCACAUCUUGGUUUGAUUGUAUGCCUCGAUUCUCUAUGGAUCCAUUAGUUGACUUUACAAUACAUGCAUUGCAAGUAUGCCUAUCCUUGUUAUGGCACUCCUAUAAGCUCUACCAUAUAUACCUUUAGCUAUAGGAGGCAUAGCAUCAUUAAUGCCUCAAGAGAGAACCAUAAAUACCACAUAUAUUGAGAGACUUGAGGGUGUCAUACAAUUAAGCUCUUAGUUUUAUUCUGAAAACCUAUAAAAAACUCCGGAAUAAUGGUUCUGCAAAGAAUUUGAGACAUAGUGCUUGACCUGAUUGUUCUGUCUUUUGAUUGCUCAAGACUCAUGCAAAAGUUGUAAAGCCCCAUGUUUAAGGGUAAAACGGGUAAGUUUGAAGAUUGGAGCAGUUAUUAACUAAUCCGGAGGAGAAUCUUUGUUUGGGAGCAUGUGUACUUGGAAAGAAUAAAAACAUUGUAGCAACUCUUGAUCCAAAUACAUAUACUGCUUGGGUUUGGUUUGCCAAGGGACUGGCAAAAGGUAAGCUUGGGGAAUUGUUGACGGUUGAUAACGUCAAUUUUUAUUAGAAACUUAAACCCAAAGGGGAACAUGAAAACACACUAGUCUAGGGUUUAAACUGACAAUUUCCACGAGUUUUGCAUAUUCUGUAUUUUCCAGGGUCUAUUUCCAGAAAAGCUGAAAAAAAGGAUUCAAGUGCAUAUUUACCACGAAAUGUAUCCGCUAUAAAAAACAUCACGAAUGGGACGUGGGAAGACUCUAGAAGACACCGAAAGAAACUAGGGGCCAGAGGCCGCCAGGUGGGGCCGGCCAGCCCCACCAUUGUGUCGGCCGGCGCCCCCGUGUUAGGGUUUCGGCCCUCCUUAUAGAAGCUUCCUCCACCACCUCCAUGGAGUCAUCUUGGCCCUUGGAUAAGUCGGUUUGAUCCUGCGGCGCACGUCGAUCCCACCGGGCUAUAAAUAAAGGGGCAGACCCCCUCCCUAAAGGCAUCAAUUCAUUUGGAAUCAAUCCAUCAAGAGCCUUCUCUAGUUCAUUAAAGCCUCUCUAGUUCAUAGUUUUAGCCUAGUUAGAUUAGAAGUAGAAGAGUUCUAGUUCUUCAUUGGGAUUGGGAGCCCCUGGCGUCUGUCUGGAGCGUGGAGUUCAGUAUAACUCUAGUACCUUUCUCUUAUUGUAUUCAAUAUUAUGAUUUAGGCAACAUUGUUCUUAAUCUCUUAUCUAUUCUUAAUUGCAAUAGUCAUUGUCUACUUUGAUUAUAGGUCUAGGAUAGUUGGUUUGAUCUUAUUGAAUUCAUGUAAUUGCUCGUAUAGCGUUUACCCAAUCAAUUGGUGGGUAGAUGGUAGACAAUAUGUAGACGUGAUGUCUAGAUAUCUUGUUUAUCUGCGAGGGCACCCUAAUGUGUCGAGUUGUGUGGUAGUCCACGCAGGUGACAGCUGCGUUGGUUCCUCUGUAGUCCACCCCCCGUACGUGGGAUGGCUUGGGCAUGGUCGCGAAGGAGGUUGUUGAUAUUUGGUAACGCCAUCAGGAAAUGAUCCGCAAGCGCACGGAUAUCGGUGAGCACUUCACCCGGGAGGUUAUCCAUAGUAUCGUAUUUAUAUUUUUACCACUGGGAGAAAGCGUGCAUUUGACUAACCAAAUCUAUUGCUACUACCCUUUAGGCUACAAAGAAUGUGACUCGAUGUGAGUGAUGUAUAGAAAAGACUACAGCCGUAGUCUCGUUCUAACCUUGGUAAGGAUGAUCUACUGUUCUAUUGGGGAGGCUCACAGAAUCUAGACACCACAAAGGAUGUUCGACCCGCACCUAUAAACCCUACCCAUCCUGCUAACGAGAUGUGGGUUGCAAAGGUAACUCGGAAAUGUCACGUUCCUCGCGACUACCACGGUCCAGCUAGUCAGGGGAUAUCUAUGAGUACCCUAGCCCAAACACCACGUUUACGCUAGCAAUGAUUACUCUAAACUCAACCGGAAGAGAUUAAAGUAAACUCAUAAACCAAAGAACAAUAAGAACAAGAACUUACUAGAAUUUAGAAGUCAAAAUACUGAAGAAUCCUAGGAGCAACCCUCGAGUUAGGAGAACUUGAUCCUACAGGUACAACCUCGGAGUAGACACCGACAGGCCGGGCUUCCUCCGAUCUACACCUCCACUCUAUCUCUCUCAAUCUAGUAGAACUUAGAAGAACUAAUUCUACUCUCACAUUGCAUGCUAAGCCCUAAGUCUAUGUAGAGAAAAGGUUAUCCUUCGAGGGCACCUCUCAACUCUAUGAUGAACUUGUUCUCCUCCAGGGGCCAGGGGGUCUGCUUAUAUAGUCCCCUUAGGCGAACGUGGGCCGUCGGAUCAAACCGACAUUGAUUGAACGGUUAUCCUUGAUCCUUUAGGUUAGUGGAGCGUAAUCCGUGAGAUGGGACCUGAUUGGUCUCUGCAACAGGGCGGGGGCCCAAGGGGGGAGGGCGGGAGCCCUGCCCCCGGGCUCGAUCGCCUUUCAUUCGUUCCCGUGGCUUCUGAAGUCUUAUAGAUGAUAGAAAAUUGCGUGGCACGUUAAUAUCUCUAUGUAAACCCGACGUGUGGGCCUUUCCUCCAUAUUUCCUGAUAACCCCCUGCAGAAAUAGACAAACACCAAAACUCAUGGAAUUCUGUCAGUUAAAACCAUAAGUCUGGGUGUUGGUUGCAUUUGGAUCCUUUUCUUUAUUUAUUUGAUGAUUAUAUUUGGUACUUAAGGACCGUCAACAAAGUCCCCCAAGCUUACCUCUUGCUCUUCCCUGAGCAAGGAUGGACUCAAGAGUUUCUGCAGUGGUUUCGUGCCUUAAAAGUACACAUGCGUUCAAGGAAGAUCUCAUCUCUGAGUUUAGGGUAAACUAUUAAUAUUUAAAACUUACUCAUUUUACCUUUCACCAUGGGACUUGUAACCGUCACUUCUGUCUUGAGUAGUUAAAAGAUAGAACAGUCUAGUCAAGUGCCAUGUCUCUUAUUCUUGAUCAGCUGUAGCUCUAAAGUUUUUGCAGAUUUUCAAAUAAAACUCAGAGAUUCCAUGUAUGACUCUCUCAGAUCUCUCUUUUGUGGUAUUUCUGGAUCCUCACCAAGGUAGUGAUGGUAUAUGCCUUCUCUCAAAGUAUGUGGUAUUUGUGGUAUAAGGCAUAGUGACAUUGCCUUUUCUCACCCUACUCUAAUAAGGCUUUGAUAUCUGGAGCUCAUAGGUGGGAGACAGAUAAUACAUACUUACAAGACAUUUAUUGCAUAGUCAAACCAUGGAUCCAGAGAAACAAGUCAAUAAGUCAAAUCAAGAUGUGCAUGUGUGGCGAAUGAUGUAUGGUGAUGAUGGUGAUAACAAUGGUGAAAGUCUAAUUCUACUUUUGCUCUUUUGAGGAGAUACAUACCUUUCUUGCUCUUUUGAAGCUUUUUGAGGAGAAUGAGAUUCUCUAUAUUUUUUCUUUUUCUUUUUCUCUCAGGUGGGUAUCUUGUACCCCUAAUUCUACUGUCGGACACUUGUCCAUUCUUACCUCUCGUCUCACUUUUUCUUUUCUUCGAGGCUCCGGGCACUUGCCCCUUUUCAUUUCCUCGUAUCCUCUUUUUUUUAGAGCACUCAUCUCCUGAAAUAAUAUAGCAAGUGGUAGUAACCAAGAUAACUCGAGCAUUUAUUUCACAGGGAAUAACAGGGAUAGGAUAAUGUUUUUGGCUAUUCUCUCCCGAAUUAGGAGUAGAAUACUUUUGGGUGGCUCUGGAGAUGGAAUUGAGUGGAUAUAUGUGGAUGCGUACUUCCAGAGUAGAAGCAGCAUGUGUGAGUGAACGUGCAAGUGAAUCUUGAUUUUAACCGGAUGACAAGCCCCUAAGGGUCUACACAGCUUGACCACACUCAAUGCUCAUAAGCUGUAAAAGUAAAUAUGUGGCUCAAAGUCUAAUAAGCAUGUAUGUAUGGCUGUGGUAGGAAUUUAAACUCUCAUCAUACAGGAACUCAUCAUGUGUUAUUUUAAAGAUUUUGAAAGAUAAAAUUCUCCAGAAUUCUAGCAUCUCUAGGAACAGAUAAACAACAGCUCAACCUUCCCAUAUCAUAUCUGUUAACGACUUAGACUUCAGAUUAAAUACUCUUCCCACAAGUUCAGGUUUUAGAGCAGGUUUAAAUUAUAACAGUUAUGCCUAAACUUGAGUGAGAUUUCAAAUUUGAGAACUAGUCAUGGCAGAGCAACUAUUCAUCAAUUCCAUGUGAGAGCUUAUUAUUUAAGUUCAGUUUGGCCUAGACACUUUAUUUAUUUAUUUAGCAAACUAAGCAAAGAUAUAUAUAAGCACAAAUUUUUUAUUUGGGUUUUCAUGAUUAUGCAUCUUUUUAUUAUUUGAGUAAAGUAUAAACGCGAGUAGAAAUACUUAGCUGGAUAAAUGGGGGUGCUCUCCCCCAAGCUGGAUUUUGACGUAAUUUCUUCUGAUGUAGCUAGCAGGUGGCGGAGGUGUAUUUGAAUGUCGGCAGCACCCUGGCAGCGAUUAGAAUGUCCUCUGUUUGCUAGUCUUCUUUGAUCCUUGAAUUCUGUAGAGCUCAAAUAGACAACAUAAAAUCUCUUUGCCUUUAUCAUAUUGAGAUUCCUCCUAAUAAAUGUUACUCUCUUUAGUAGGAUCAUAAAUUUAUUUUUAUAUUUUUAUUUUUAUAGGACAGAAAUAUAUUUAUUUUAUUUUUACGCCACCACAGUGAAUGUACUUAUGGGUUUUAUGCCAUGAGCAUACUCACAUGGGGCUUACUAUUUUUAACAUUUUUAUUUUCUUUUUGAGAUGAUAUGAACCUGAUUAACUAAGCAAACUAUUUUAAACCAUUAAAGGGAAAAGGAUAACUACCAAGUUUACCUCUUGGCAAGGCAUUCGGUGUUUUUAAGUCCUCCCAACGGGACUCUCCGUUUUCUCAGUCGUCGUGGGAUUCGCUGGAUGGCGUAGUCGGUGGUUCCGGCGGUGCCUCCUCUUCGUGUAUAACUAUCUUCUCUCUCCACACCUGACUCGGUGCUACGGUCUCCUCAGGACAGUUCUGUUCAAGCUGUAUGUCUUCAGACCUUACCACUUCUCCUUCGUAGUCUGUCCAUCCGUCCUUGAUGAUUUGCCUCCUCUGGUUGCGGUUGCGUCGUCUUUUUCUUGUCCCGACCCGCUUAGAGUCUUCAACUAUAUAGUUAAGGUCAGUAAAAUAGCAGUGUACCUUCUCAGAGGGAAAGUGCAUGUGGACUUCUCCGGUUCCAAUAUAGAUGAUGGCUUCGAUAGUAUUGAGGAACGGUCUUCCAAGGAUGGUAGGUGGAUCGUACUCGUCUUCUCCCAUGUCAAUGAUCUGAAAAUCAUCUGGAGCUGAAUGGAUAUUGGUUGUAGGGACAUGGUUCCAUGCAGGAGCUGAUAAGUGACUGUGGCCAUUAUGUUGACAUCAGAUCUGGUGUCAUAGAAUGUCUUCUGAAAAGAGUAUCCGUUGAUUGUGCACUUGAUGCUUGGAACACCUAGGUCGUCCGUCUUCAUCCUUUAGGUGCAUCAUUUGAUUAGGUGUGGACCUUGACGUCUGCACCCCUUGAUACGGUGUCACCCAUGUUCUUUGUUUGCCCAGCAGUUCGAAGUGCGGUAUUGGCAAUAUCCUGCUCAGUGUGUUUGUGCUCGUAGAUCCAGGUCCUUCACUUAGUGGAAUCUGGGAGUUGUAAAACUCCUCCAUGUUUUGCUUGAAGUGUACCUGUUCAUAGAGACAAGGCAGAGAUCAAGUGCAUGGGCCCUGUUGGUGAACAAUACCAACAGAACCAAAAGUGUAUUUGUUCUUCUCUAACCUUAAGCAUAGUGAGCAAGACAAAGUUGAUAGAUAAUAAGAUCAUGAGUGUAGCGUUUAAAACAUUUGUCAGAUUAGAUUGCUCAACCCAAUGGGAAGAUAAUCUAUCUAUAUUUUUGUUUUGUUUAUAUUUUCCAAAGAUUGAAUGUGCAACAUUUUAGCUUAUAUGAUUAGCAGUGUGGGAUCACGAAGGUAGCACUAAGAACAAAGAUUAAAGGACUAAACAUGCUGAAUCAGUUAGGUUGGUUAAUUUAGAGUUAUAAAUCAUACAUGUUUGUCUCUUUAUUUAUGUGAACGCCAGAACCAAGGAGAAGCUUAUAAAAGUGAUAGCUGAGUACCUUAAGAUGUUACCUUACUUGAACAGUGGUGGUACAGUAUCACCUUGUGGAAGCUUUCCUUUCUUAGCGGUUCUGCAGCGUGUUUGUGGCACUCUUUGUCUUGUUCCAUGGAUCAUCUCUCUAUGAUGAAUGAGCAAUGUCUUCCUUGUGCAACUCAUUAAACUUCAUGUGUCUCCUUUGUCUCCAAUGUGAGUUUAUCUCAGGACUUCCUAGGUCGAUAUUGAAAGUUUUCCUGCAGGGGUUAGUCCAACAAAAUAUUCAAUAUCUACUAUAGCAUACUAUCGGCUUAAAAAUCAACCUAGACACCAUGUAUAAUUUGAUUUAGGAGGGCAUUUUAACCUAAGCACCAUGCUUAAUUUAAAAACCUUUGGAAGUAAGAUCAUUAUUCCUAAACUAAGGACCAUGCUUAAUUAAGGGAUAAAUGAAACUACUCCAAACCUAGACAUAUACUAAAGCAAACAAAGGUAGCAUGAGAGCAUUUAUAGAGAUCUACUCAAGUGGAGAUGAAGUAGUGUGAUUAGUAUUUAACAAAUUGAGCAUGUCUCAAAGGUAGGGACAACCAACAUAGCAACUUGGCAAAGGAUGUUUUUAUGUAAAGUACUCCCCCAAGCUUGAAUUUUGCAAAAUUCAAGUUUGGAUGAAUUUAAUUCAAUGUUGUAUGAUGAUUGGUUGGACAUACCUUGUGCUUGUCAUUCAUCCGAUCUUCUUGCUCCAAUCCUGGAAAGGUUAGUGACAAGAAUACCCGAAGGAAUAUUUCUACAAUUAUCUUUAUAUGCUCAAUACACAAGGUAAUGUUGCAAGUAAAUAGAAGUUCAUGUUACGAUCUGAUAAGUGCUUGUUUUAGGACACUCAGCUUGUCCUUGGGAAACCAUCAAUUUAUGUCGGCGAAGUGGUUUCCCCUCCAACGCUGACCUACAUCAAGAUCAACUCAACGAGAUCUGCAAUAUUUAUUAUAGACAUAUACAUCGACAACCACCCUUUUAAAGUUUUUAUAAAUAGAAAGGAAGAGGGGGUUGGAGAUCUCAAAUGUGGUGAUGUUGGAGAGACCAAUAGAUUGGGAAGAUGUUGCAUAUGAGCAUGGAGUAAACGAAGUGGCUAUGAAAUAAAUUUCAUGCUCAUUAAUGUUAUCUUCGUAUCCAAUCUGAAUGUUCGGAGUUUCUCCUAGAUUGGUCUCGCCUAUCUCAUCUUCAAAGGGAGUUAAGAACUCACCAUUUGAAAUUGAGCCAAAGUCAGAAUCCAUUAAGGCUUCUUCCUUGUCCAUCCAUUCAAUGGUGAUAGCACAUGGAUUUUUAAUGCCCUCUAGCCAUUGAUGUUGCUCUUCUCGAUCUUCCUUGUGGUCUUUGUGACUCUUAUGCAUGGGAUGUCUAGAGAAAUUCAUAGGAUCAUCGGGAGGUUCAAGAGAAAGAGCAUAGUAGAAAUUAUUAGGCUCAAGGAUAGGUUUAAAGAUAGUUUCGAAUGAGUCAUCAAAAGUGGGUGUAGAAGGGGAGAAGAUGAGAUUGUCUUCUAAAUGGCUUUCUUCUAUUGCAUCACUUAAGACGCCAUCCUUGAGUCUUUCUAGAUGUCCAUUAGAGGGAUUGGAUUCGAGAUGCUUUCUAAGAGAUUCCUUCUUAGGAAGGUUCAGACUAUAUGCACUCAAAGGUCUCUUAUGAAGCAGGAAGUUUAAGCUCAUCCCAAAAUGAAUUUCCAAAGGUAGAAUUUCUUCUUCCCUUAGAUGAUUUUGGAGCACUACUAGUUUGGGUUGGAUAGCCGAAUCAUGGGACUGAAAUGUUUGGAAAUCGGCUAUUGAAACUUCCUUUCCUCGUCUCGGAGAUGAUUCCUUCUCUAUCUCUAGGAUUUUUUAUGAAGACUAGUGCAAGAAGGAUGUCUACGAAUGAAGACAUACCUUACUUUACUAACAGAUAAAGAAAGAAAAACUCUACCAAAGGUUAUAUGAUUAAGACCAAUGUAAAAAUAUCGAGAAAAAACAUGGUCUUGUAGGGCUAGGUUUAAACCAGAAUUUAUAGAAAGAUUAACAGAUUCCCUAGGUGUAGCUAAAAGUUCAUUAUCUUCUUGAUUAAAUGAUAGGACCUCGGCUAUAGAAAAGGGUUGGUUUUGACCUAUUGCAAUCAACUCCGGACACAGAUCAUAAUUAGGGGCAAAGAAAGGACUUGUUGACUCCCAUGGUCUAUGGCUGGUCUCUGAAGGUGCAAAAAAUUCAAAAUAGGUGUGGAAUUUGAGUCAUCCACAAAGAUGGAAAAAAAUAAAAAGAUAAAAGAAUAAAAGUAUAAAAGUAUAAUACAAGAUAAUAGCAAGACUUAAAGUUAUCUCAACAAACCGUCUUUCUCCCUGGCAACGGCGCCAGAAAUGCUUGUUGAUAUUUGGUAACGCCAUCAGGAAAUGAUCCACAAGCGCACGGAUAUCGGUGAGUGUUGACACUAGCUAACAGCACUUAGAUACUAGGUUGUCAUCCCCAGCAUGGUGCUAGAGUGUACAAAGAUAUUUAUAAAUGUAAAGGCUCUCUAGAAAAUAAUCUAUUCUAUCCGCAAGCGCACAGAUAAAACACCUCAUUGUAGCAUUUCACCAGGAUAAGUAUUCCAGGUAUCGUUAUUUAUAAUUUUGCUCAAGAGGACAAAGGAGAUGAAAUUAAAUUAAGGGCAAAAUCUAUCAAGGCAUAGACUAGAGAUAAACUUGCAAGAACAUGAUUACUAAUGAGAAACUCGUCACACAGUCACUUACUUUAGCAGGGGAGUAAACCAUAAAGAUAAUGAUAAUGAAUUAUAAGUUCAAUUGAUAAAUAACACAACGAUUAGAAAAUAGACUACUCCUCAUAUAUGUAGGUGAUGUCGGAUUAGCUAGAGAAUGGAUUCUAAGUUAUCUACUAUCUACUAAGUCAUAAUCUACUCUAGUUAUCUACAAGAUCAUAUGUAGCAUAAAAGACUCUUCAUUCAUGUAUAAGGAACAUUGCUAAAGUAAAUCAGAGCAUCGCAAGACUUACUCCACAAUACCGGUUCUGCCUGUCCUAUCAACGGAGGGUGGACUAUAUAAGAAUCAACAAAGCUGUCACUAUCGCGAACUACCACACAACCCGGCCAAUAGGAUACAUUUGCAGAUAAAUAACAUCUAAGCACCACGCUCACAUGUGAUCUAUCACUUAACCCCUCGCGUCAAGAGCUAAGCGCUUUGCAAACUUAUACAUAAACUCAUUAUCAAUCAUAACUAUAUCAAAUAUAGAACUAGAGCAAACUAAGAACAUAAUAAUUAGAGACAUAAUGCAAUUAGAACAAAGAAUUAGAGAAAGAUAUGAAUAAUACCAAUCUUUAUUACCGAAGAUCCGAAUCCAUUAGCAAUAAUACUAAUUGCUAUCUAAUCAAACCUCUAAACUUGAAGGAUUAGGGAGUAGCUAAUUCUAAUUCUCUGUGGGAGAGAAGCUCUAAACCCUAACUUUGAUGGCUACCUCUGAAUAAUGAUUUCUUCUCUUCUCCUCUCUCCUCCAGGGGUGGAGAGGCCUUGGUUUUAUAGUCCUUUCAAGUAAAUUUGGGCCGUCAGAUCAAACCGACAUUGAUUGUAUGGUUUAGAUUGAUCCUUUAGGUCGGUGGAGUUUAGUCCCGAAAGAGAGUCCCGAUCCAACUCCUGGCCAGGGCGGGCGCCCAAGGGGGGUGGGCGGGCGCCCUGCCCCCGAGCCCGAUUCCCUUCUCGUUCGUUCCCGUGGCUUCUGGACUCUUCUAUAUUGAAGAAAAUUGCGCGGCACGUAAUUAUCUCGUUGUAAACAUGACAUGUGGGCCUUCUCUCCAUAUUCUCUGAUAACCCCCUGCAGAAAUAGAUAAACACCAAAGCUUGUGGAAUUCUGUCAGAUAAAACCCGAAUUCUAGAUGUUUGUUUCAUAUUGAUCCUUUUUCAUGUUUAUUUGAUUCUUAAUUUUAGUACUUAAGGACCGUCAACAAACUCCCCCAAGCUUACCCUUUGCUCGUCCCUGAGCAAACAGCUAAACUCAGACGGAUCAGGAGUUGCUUCGAUGUUUUCUUUCCUGACAGGCACACAUGCUUUUACAUAAAAUUUCUUCCAGAUUAGAGUGAAGUGUCAUGGAGUUUUAGAACCUGCACUUAAGUCUUAAGUAAUUGAAAGACAAAAUAAUUAAGUCAAGCACUAUUCCUCCUGUCUAUACUUCACCUUUGUUCUAGAGUUUUUCAUAAGUUUUCAAAAUAAAACUCAGAGUUCCCAGCAAUAAUUCUCUCAAGUCUCUCUAUAUGUGGUAUUUAUGGAUCCUUACCAAAAUAUCACUUACCUAUAGCUAAUGGAAUAUUUAAGUGGAGCUCAUAGGAGUGAAAAACAGCUCAUACAUAUGUUGUCUAAUCAAGCCAUGGAUCCAAAGGAACUCAGCAUAUAAUUAAAUCAAGAUGUGCAUGUGUGAUGGAGUAAUGAUAGUGAUGAUGAAGAUAUAUAAGUGAUAAUAAAACUUAGUUCUCAUUGUUCCUCAUAUUGCUAUUUCUCCUCUUCUUUGAUCUUUGCUUUGGGAGAACAUGGGCUAUCUUUUUCUUUUCUUUCUUUUUUUUCAGGUGGGUAGUAAAUACCCCUAAUUCUACUGUCGGACACUUGUCCAUUUUUUCCGCUCAAGUGGGCAUCUUUGUACCCCUAAUUCUACUCCGGACACUUGUCCAUUUUUACCUCUCGUCUCACUCUUUUUUUUCUUUUCCGAGGUUCCGGGCACUUGCCCCUUUUUAUUUCCUCGCAUAUUUUUGCAUAACCCAUGCCUCUUCUACAUUGAAUCUUUUUAGAGAGAGAGAAUAACAAUACUUGGGACAGUGAGUGAUAAUAUUUUUUAGCAAUUUUAAUGAUUGGUGAUGAAUGGUGUAGUGGAUGUGUGCAAGUGAAUAUCUUAAUUUAACCACAUGAAAAGCUCCUAAGGGUCUACACAGCUCAAUCAAACUCAAUGUAAAUAUAGUAAAAAAUGUUAUAGCAAGUAUGGCUGUGGUAGGUAGUUUGCAAUGCUAGGAACUCAUCAUGUGAUUUGUAAGUUUUCAAAAUAAAUCUCCAGAACUUAGUGUAGUAGGAACAAGAUAAACAGUAGCUCAAACUUUAUAUCAUGCCUUUCUCUUACCUAGACUUUUAGUUUUAUGUUUCCCAUAGAUAGUGAUUUUAGUUUUAGUAAUUCCUGGAAGAACUCUAAUAUAAAAGCUAGGUACUUGUAAGUAAGCAAAUAGAGCAACUGUUCAUCAUUUCCAUCAUGCAUUUUUUUGGUCUUUUUAUUUUUCUAGAGAUUAAACUUAGCAGGAAAAUAAAACACACUUAUCUACACACUCUUUUUAUUUUGUUUUCAUGUUUAUAGAAUGCAGUAAAUUAAAGCAAGAAAAUAUUUAUUGGGUUUUAUAAGUUUUUUUUUCUCUCUAAGAUAAAUAAAACACUAAAAUAGAAAAGAAUAAAUAAGAAGAGCAAAUAAAAACUUACUUGAUAAAUUUGGGAGGAACUCCCCCAAGCUGGAUGUUGCUGUCGGCCUUACCCGAUAUUCCAGAACCGCAUCAUGGUUGUGAUGUUGUCGUUCAUUGUUGUUGUAUCUUGUCUCAGCUCUUGUACUGCAGCGACAUGGUCCUGGUUCCAUUUUUGUUGCUCUUCUAGGAGUCGUCCAUGUUCUGCUUGCGUGUUCUGGAUGUCGAGGAGAGUGUUGUCGGUACGGGCGAAGAAAGCACCGGCCUCUUGGUAGUAGUCAUUCGUGAAAGCGUAGGAGUCGUCGGAGUAUCGUCCUGCAUCAAAUUGGGGCGGAGGUCUGGAUCCUAAAGCUCCAUAUGGAUCAGUGGAGUACCUGCCCGUAUGGAAAGGUGGGUUUGUCCACUGGUGAUCUUGGCUCUCCGGCCACGUCUCCUCUGUUGGCUCUUGUGGUUGCGCAUGUCGAACCCAUGGGUCUCGAAGGACUCAGGGGUUGUAGUCGCAAUAAUGCAGGUGCGCUGCUUCUUCUGGCCCGGGAUCAGCUCCAUACCAGGUGCGUUCUCGAUGGGUGGUCAUCCUUUCAUAUGCCACUCGCUGUGGAGCUCUCUGGUUCACUGGUGUUGCUGCAAUCUCAAUCAAAAAAUUUUGAACAACGUAGAGGCUAAGGUUCGGGUUAGGUAACCGAAUCUUGCCUUUAUCAUCAUAUAGCAUAUACAUUACAUUCCCCUCUUUCUUUAACAUCCGAGCCUGUCUAAAUGUGUCAUAGCCAUGAUAAAUUCUUAACUCAUCUAUGAAGUCCAACGAUGAGUUUUCUAGUAAGUGAAGAUUAGAGGCUAGACGAGUGAUAAGUGAAGUAGAUCCUACUGGUCCCUGAAGACUAGGUACACUAAGCCAAUGAGAAACUAAAAGUGUAACAGGUGAAGUGGGUACUUUAUUAAUAGCAGCAUAUAAAAGUUGCAAAUCUCCUACUCUUACUUUCCUAAUAUCAUCACGAUAGAAAAGAUUGUACCCAAGCCAUUUGUGAAACAUCCUAAGAGUGGGGUGUUCCAUGCUUGACUAUAAAAAUUAUCUCUAGAUAUUUCUCUCCAAAACUGGUGUCUCUCAAAGUUAGGUAAGUCAGAGUCAAUGUUCAGGAUGCAUCUUGAAGAGAAACCAAGAUGGUCGCUCAGCUCUCUCCAAGACAACAUAAUCUCCUGUUUGAACAUCCGAAAAACAAUUCCCCCCUCAUAGUAUUGUAAGGUGCAAAGAAAUUCGAGGGUGAGAAGACGAGAACCCAGCUCAGUUAUAUUCCAAAAAUUUGUCCAACCUAUCAUCUGAAAAAUUAAGUCAAAUUCAGUGUCCAUACCUGUUUCUUGUAGUAAGACUGGAUCAAGAGUAGGGGUGUGAAUGAAAUCUUUGUUCUUCAGUUGCUGAUAGACUUCCUUAUCCCUUCGGGUCUUUAGUCCAAGGUCUCCUAUCUUGAGAAGGACCUUGACUUGCUGACCUGAUGAAGAUGACGGAGCUUGUGUGGGUGUUGGGUCGACGCUCAUCUCUGAUGGCUGUGAGGAGUGUCGGGCUGAACUCCUUGUACCAAUGUUCUUGAGAGUCUUCCCUGCGUUCUUCACCUUCUUAAACAUCCUGUAAACAAAAGUUGGCAAAAACACAACUAGUGGAAAAUGUGAGAGAAAAUGUUAGUGGUCAGCUGUCCGGAAUGUCAGUAGUCCAGGGGUUAGUCGUUCAAGUUUCUAUGGCAGAACCCCCCCUAAACAACUUUUACUUCAGCUUAGAUAACGGGAUCACUACUUACUAGGUGAUACUCACUCUCUCACUCAAAAGAACUCCCAACCUUCUCACACUCAGAGCUAUUCUCUGGAAACCGAGAACUACGAGCUUGUAAGGUUUUCUGAAAUGUGUGUGUGAAGAGAAGGGGAGCCGGAGGUGGCCAUUUAUAGGCUGAGCAGGGAACAGGGCGGGCGCCCUGGGUAGGUGGGCGGGCUCCCACCCCUGGUGUCCAUCCUGGGUGUGCCUCCUCCACAUGCUUCCUUGCUUUGAUCUCACGCAGAAUAAUGUUGUGUUGGUGGUGGUUGGGCGGUGGAAAGAUGUCUAGUGAGUGGAAACAUAUUGGUGGAUGAAAUUAUGUGAUGGGAUGUAUGUGAGGUGAAGUGUAUGACAUGUGGGACCCAAGGAGUGUGGGUCAUGCUUCUAGAAGAUUAAUAUAAUUAAUUAUAAUGCAGGAAAAUCUAUGAGAAUUGAAACUUAUUUAAAAUGAUUAUGGAAAAUAUUUUUGUGCCUCCAGAAUAAUUAAUAAAUAUGGGUUGUUGCACACCACGAAUAUUAUUUAUAUGGGGCUUUUUAUUAUUAUAAUGAUGCUAUGACUAAUGCAAGAAUUAAUUAUGCAAGAAUUUAAAUAUGAGAAAAUUAAUAAUGUGGAUAAAUACCGAUUUACCUCCCGGUGAGGGUUUGGGAUUUUUAGGUCCCCCAAGCUGGACCUCCAAAUCUUUUAAUCUUCUGAGUUACCUUCCUCCGGAGAUGGUGUCUCCAGUGGUUCUUCAUGAACUUCCUUCACUGUAGAGUCUCUCUCUGGUCUGGGUUUGAAUGUGAAGUGUUCUUCUUGUCCAUUUAUGUUGAACUUGAUUUCUCCUUUCCCAACAUCGAUGUGGGCAUUGGUGGUGCUCAGAAAUGGCCUUCCAAGGAUGAUGGACACUUUUGAGUCAGGACUCAUGUCCAGUACUAUGAAGUCUACUGGCACCAGGAAAUCUCUGAUCUUGACUGGAAUGUUCUCGGCGAUGCCCAACGGGUGUCGAACCGAUUGAUCCGCUAGUUGUAGGCACAUUGAUGUUGGUUCUAGGGUCGCAUGCUCAAGCUUUUUAUAGACUGAUGCUGGCAUCACACUGACACUUGCUCCGAGAUCACAAAGUGCAUUGUUGAAGUGUUGUUUUCCGAUUGAGCAAUCAAUAGUGGGGCAUCCUGGAUCUUCCUUCUUCUUUGGUGGUUUGUUGAGGAUGGCCGCACUACAUUCUUCUGUCAGCUCGAUAACCUCAGUGGUGGGGAGUGGCCUCUUCUUGUUAAGAAUAUCUCUGAUGUACUUUGCAUAUGUAGGUACCUGUAUGGCAUCCAGCAGAGGUAUGUUGACAUAUAAUUUCUGAAUGACCUCUAUAAACUUACCAAACUGCUCAUCCGACUGCAGUCCUCUAUUUCUUCUGGGAAAUGGCAAAUAGUUGGUGUCGUAAAAAUCUUUCCUCAUUUCUCCAGUUCUUGGUGGUUGGAGCAGAUCUUCUGCUUCAACUGGGCUUUCUUCUUCUAUCACUGCUGGUUGCACUGGUGCUGAUGUUCUUUGUUUCUCUUUUGGGUUUGGGGGAUCUCUGGUGGCUUUGCCUCCUCUAGUAGUUAUAUUCUUUACCUUCUCAAUGUUAGUAGCAACGGGCAGUGCAGCAGCUAGCUUUAUUAAUUUAAGCUCUACCCUUUUAUUAAGAGUGUUUUGCUCAUCAAAGGCAGUUAAUAGAAAAUCCAUUUUAUUGUGUAUAUCUUUUAGAGAUGAUUCAUUUGUAUCUAGCCUUUGUUUAACUUCAUCAUUAAUUUUAGUUUGUUGAGCAAUUAUCUGUUUUAAUGAAAGUUGCUUGAAAGUAUUACCUGAAUUCAUACCUUUGCUAUUGAGUUGACUCGAAGUUGGUUGAUAUUUGUAUGCUGUCUCAAUGGCCCUUUGAUCUUCUUUGAACUUGGCCCUCUGGUCAAUCCAAUGGAGCAAAUUUUCCAUCUUAGUUGAUAAUGCAUUUACUUCUUCUGGUAUUUCUUCAGUUUGAUGACAUUGUUGAGCCUUAUCUUGGAACCAGCUUUGGUUUUUCUGCUAUCUUAUCCAAAAGUAUCUCUGCUUUUCCAGUUGUAAGCUCCAAGAAUGAUCCUUUAGCAGAUGCAUCUAGGCACUCACGAGCCUUCUAGGUUAAUCCAUGGUAGAAGGUCUGCAUAAGUAACCAUGUGGCCAUUCCAUGGUGAGGACAAUCUGAUAUCUAUCCUUGACAACGCUCCCAUGCUUAUGAAAUGGCUUCUGUCUUCUGUUGUUGGAAACUGACAAUAUUUCCUCUUAAGGCAGUUGUUUUGCCUAUAGGGAAAAACUUUGAUAGAAAGGCAUCUGACAAGUUUGUCCAGUUGUUGAUGUUAUCUUGAUGAGUGUAGAACCACUUCCUCGCUUUUCCUUCUAGUGAGAAUGGAAAAAGGCGAAGUAGUAUGACGUCUUUGUCAACUCCGUUGAUGUGGAUUGUGCUUCCAAUCUCUAAGAAAUUCUGCAAGUGUGCACUAGCAUCUUCAUGUGCCUUCCCACUGAAUUGUGUAGCUUGUUCCAAAUUGAUGAGGCUUGACUUGAGCUCAAACUCGGGUACUCCUUCUUCUACUGCAAAUCUUGGACCACUUGGAAUGUUGUCAAGACUUGGAGCAGAAAAUUCUUGUAGGGUCUUUUGUGUCAUAGCUUCAGCAAUUGGUAGCUAGCUUCUUCUUUAUUUCUUGAUUGCUUUGGUUCUGAUGAUGAAGAGUUGAAUGUACCCAAAGUCAAUCCUGAUAUACCCUGUAUAAAAAUAUAAACAUAGAAAAACAACAGGGUGAACCUGCCAAAGCAGAGGUGCCUUGUUAUGAUUUCUCACUUAGUAGCUGUUUUUGCAAUUAUAUCUCUAUAGUCUAGUCUAAUAUUUUAUAUGAAUAACCUUGACUGAUUUUCUGACUUUCCUUACCGUUCCUAUAUAUUAACCUUUUGUUCCCUUUUAUGACUUCCUUAUGAGACCUCCCCGGCAACGGCACCAGAAAUGCUUGUUCACACUAGCUAACACCACUUAGAUACUAGGUUGUCAUCCCCAGCAUGGUGCCAGAGUGUACAAAGGUAUUUAUAAAUGUAAAGGCUCUCUAGAAAAUAAUCUAUUAUAUCCGCAAGGGCACAGAUAAAACACCUCAUUGUAGCAUUUCACCAGGAUAAGUAUUCCAGGUAUCGUUAUUUAUAAUUUUGCUCAAGAAGACAAAAGAGAUGAAAUUAAAUUAAGGGCAAAAUCUAUCAAGGCAUAGACUAGAGAUAAACUUGCAAGAACAUGAUUACUAAUGAGAAACUCGUCACACAGUCACUUACUUUAGCAGGGGGUAAACCAUAAAGAUAAUGAUAAUGAAUUAUAAGUUCAAGGGAUAAAUAACACAGCGAUUAGAAAAUAGACUACUCCUCAUAUAUGUAGGUGAUGUCGGAUUAGCUAGAGAAUGGAUUCUAAGUUAUCUACUAUCUACUAAGUCAUAAUCUACUCUAGUUAUCUACAAGAUCAUAUAUAGCAUAAAAGACUCUUCAUUCAUGUAUAAGGAACAUUGCUAAAGUAAAGCAGAGCAUCGCAAGACUUACUCCACAAUACCGGUUCUGCCUGUCCUAUCAACGGAGGGUGGACUAUAUAAGAAUCAACGAAGCUGUCACUAUCACGAACUACCACACAACCCGGCCAAUAGGAUACAUUUGCAGAUAAAUAACAUCUAAGCACCACGCUCACAUGUGAUCUAUCACUUAACUCCCUCGCGUCAAGAGCUAAGCGCUUUGCAAACUUAUACAUAAACUCAAUAUCAAUCAUAACUAUAUCAAAUAUAGAACUAGAGCAAACUAAGAACAUAAUAAUUAGAGACAUAAUGCAAUUAGAACAAAGAAUUAGAGAAAGAUAUGAAUAAUACCAAUCUUUAUUACCGAAGAUCCGAAUCCAGAGCGUAGUGCUCUACUUCUCUAAUUGCUAUCUAAUCAAACCUCUAAACUUGAAGGAUUAGGGAGUAGCUAAUUCUAAUUAUCUGUGGGAGAGAAGCUCUAAACCCUAACUUUGAUGGCUACCUAUGAAUAAUGAUUUCUUCUCUUCUCCUCUCUCCUCCAGGGGUGGAGAGGCCUUGGUUUUAUAGUCCUUUCAAGUAAAUUUGGGCCGUCAGAUCAAAACAACAUUGAUUGUAUGGUUUAGAUUGAUCCUUUAGGUCGGUGGAGUUGAGUCCCGAAAGAGAGUCCCGAUCCAACUCCUGGCCAGUGCGGGCGCCCAAGGGGGGUGGGCGGGCGCCCUGCCCCCGAGCCCGAUUCACUUCUCGUUUGUUCCCGUGGCUUCUGGACUCUUCUAGAUUGAAGAAAAUUGCGCGGCGCGUAAUUAUCUCGUUGUAAACAUGACAUGUGGGCCUUCUCUCCAUAUUCUCUGAUAACCCCCUGCAGAAAUAGAUAAACACCAAAGCUUGUGGAAUUCUGUCAGAUAAAACCCUAAUUUUAGAUGUUUGUUUCAUAUUGAUCCUUUUUCAUGUUUAUUUGAUUAUUAAUUUUAGUACUUAAGGACUGUCAACUGUGAGCACUUCACCCGGGAGGUUAUCCAGAGUAUCGUAUUUAUAUUUUUACCACUGGGAGAAAGCGUGCAUCUGACUAACCAAAUCUAUUGCUACUACCCUUUAGGCUACAAAGAAUGUGACUCGAUGUGAGUGAUGUAUAGAGAAGACUACAAUCGUAGUCUCGUUCUAACCUUGGUAAGGAUGAUCUACUGGUCUAUUAGGGAGGCUCAUGGAAUAUAGACACCACAAAGGAUGUUCGACCCGCACCUAUAAACCCUACCCAUCCUGCUAACGAGAUGUGGGCUGCAAAGGUAACUCGGAAAUGUCACGUUCCUCGCUACUACCACGGUCCAGCUAGUCAGGGGAUAUCUAUGAGUACCCUAGCGCAAACACCACGUUUACGCUAGCAAUGGUUACUCUAAACUCAACCGGAAGAGAUUAAAGUAAACUCAUAAACCAAAGAACAAUAAUAACAAGAACUUACUAGAAUUUAGAAGUCGAAAUACUGAAGAAUCCUAGGAGCAAGCCUUGGGUUAGGAGAACUUGAUCCCGCAGGUACAACCUCGGAGUAGACACCGACAGGCCGGGCUUCCUCUGAUCUACACCUCCACUCUAUCUCUCUCAAUCUAGUAGAACUUAGAAGAACUAAUUCUACUCUCACAUUGCAUGCUAAGCCCUAAGUCUAUGUAGAGAAAAGGUUAUCCUUCGAGGGCACCUCUCAACUCUAUGAUGAACUUGUUCUCCUCCAGGGGCCAGGGGGUCUGCUUAUAUAGUCCCCUCAGGUGAACGUGGGCCGUCGGAUCAAACCGACAUUGAUUGAACGGUUAUCCUUGAUCCUUUAGGUCAGUGGAGCGUAAUCCGCGAGAUGGGACCUGAUUGGUCUCUGCAACAGGGCGGGCGCCCAAGGGGGGAGGGCGGGCGCCCUGCUCCCGGGCCCGAUCGCCUUCCCGUUCGUUCUCGUGGCUUCUGGAGUCUUCUAGAUGAUAGAAAAUUGUGCGGCACUUUAAUAUCUCUAUGUAAACCUGACGUGUGGGCCUUUUCUCCAUAUUUCCUGAUAACCCCCUGCAGAAAUAGACAAACACCAAAACUCGUGGAAUUCUGUCAGUUAAAACCCUAAGUAUGGGUGUUGGUUGCAUUUGGAUCCUUUUCUUUAUUUAUUUGAUGAUUAUAUUUGGUACUUAAGGACCGUCAACAGAGGUGACGAUUGCGUCUUAAAAUCCUCAUUAGUUGAUGCCUCUUUACAUGUGAUUAUUAUAUAGGGUCGACUUAACAAUGAUUUCUAGAUGUAAUUACACUAAUUAGAGUUAUUUAUUGACAUAGUUAUAGAAUUACCUUAGUAUUUCUUCCUGAGUUUGUCCAAUGGCUAGCUAUUACUAUGACUAGAAGAGCUCUGAUAUUUAUCUAUUUAUGACGAUUGAUCAUUAUUUAUCUUAUAUCUUUUAUCAAGUGAUUUAUCCCUAUUAUGAGUAGGAUUCUAGUUAUGGUUUAUCGUUCAUAUCAAUAGUAUAAGUUAUAGUUAUAAGUCCUACAUAUAGACCUUCCCUAUGGAUACGAUAUUUAAAACCCCCUUGGGUAAAAUGUGACAUUGGUACGAUAUCUGUGUGCUUGUGGAUAAUCUUACUUAAAUCUUAUUUAAAGAAGUACAGUUAAUUUAUACCAACAGGUAUAUUAUUUGUGAAUGCUUCAUCUUUGGUUGUUUACACAUCACUAUUUUUAUGUUAAUUCAUUUUAAUUCAUAUUGGUGCUAUGCAUAGGGAGAUUUGAAAGAACUUCAGCCAGGUUUAGCAGAGACCAGUCAAGGAAAGGUUGUAUGGAAAGGAGAUGCACUUAGUAAAAUAUUAGGAGAAGAAAAGCCUGGCCAUGUGCAUGGCUUCAAGGACUUGUUCCAAAUCCUAAUCAAGUGGUUGAUGUAUCCACUUCAAAGCGCCUUAAGAAUGUAAAUUUAACUUCACUAGAUGAAACAUCACGUGAAUAUGUAGUAUCUCUGAGACUUGAACUAGAGAAGCUUGGGCAGCGUGUCCGGAAUCAAGAUGCGUCUAUACUACAGCUGCAACAUAAGACAAGAACCAUGGAACAAAAAACAUUUCCAAUAGGUAUUUUUUUAAAAAAAAUCAAUUCUAAGCAUUUCCUGCACUAAACUUCUGAUUCCUUGACAUAGGGAUGUUUAGAUGAUCCUGUCUAUGCACCAAAUGAUGGCUAUUGUGCUGAUGUGCCAAAUACGAAAUGACCCUCGUUGAAAUAUUGAUAAAAACAACAAUCUAUUUUUUAAUAGCUGGUUCUAAUUUACAAUCUUUUGUCUAUCAAUAGCGAGUAUAUAGUGACCCUCAAAGUCAAGAUUUCAGCAUGGAUGGACAAUUAAAUGAUACAAUGGUGCAAUUGAAUUGGAUUUUGCAUAUCAUAUUUAUAUCAAAUAUUUAUCUAUUUUAGUUCACUGCAGAAUGAGCAUGGUGACAAUAUGGAGGAUGAUGAUUUGCAACCACAUUACAAGUUCCUUAGUUCUACAAAGAAGAUAUGCACAUAUGGAUGAGAGCUUUUUACUAUAGUUGGCACUAGAAAGUUACAACUAGAAUUUUAUCUUGUCAUUUAACUGGGACUUGUGCCUUGCACUUGCAGAGGCAAAAUGUUAUGAAGCAAAGAAAAAUAGAUGUUGCUAGCUCAAAGAAACAGGUAAGGACAACUAUUUUUUCAGUUCUUAAUCAUUCCAAGGUGUUUUUGUUAAAGAUUUUUUUGGUUCCCUUUGUCAAGAAGGUUGCUGAGCACUCAUAUGAAGCCACAAAUCUAGACUCAUCUACCCUAGCCACAAUAAAUAUUAGCUCACAGGUGACUAAUCAUGAAGCACUAGCUGUAGAUUUUCUUUUAGACAAGUUUCUGCAAUCCUUAUUUCAACUUUAUUUUAUGUUUACUUCAUGCUUUACCCAUAACAGCUACUUGGUGUCUUGUCUUAUUGACAUGAUUGAUUACUUAGAAAAAACUCAUGGAUUUAUGUUAGGCUGAACUAAGAACACCUUAAUAUUUCCUUACAUGUUAUGGCACAUGGCCUUAAUAACCUAUCUCCGUUUUGAUUCUAUUUUGUCAAUGAAAGAAAAUAUUAAUUUAUUCUUAUUUCACUAUAGAUGGAGCAAGAUGAUUAUGUGGACAUGAGGAUCUACCAGCACAUUACAAAUAUAAUUGUACUAAAUAUAAGGUUUGCAAAUCAAACUGAACACAUGGAUGCAAAGUAAUAUAUUGUGUACAUUUUACCAGAUACCAUUAUUGCCACUUUUUUCAACUUUCCUGACAUGUGUUUCUUUCUAGAACAAAGGCAAUAUGGUACUAAAUGACAAAGUGUUAAAUUUUAUUAUAUCUUUAGUAAGUGGAUCAUUUGUCACACCCGGUUUUAAGGAAUAAAACCAGGCUAGCUAUACGUGUGCCCAGAAAGUCCACACAUACAACAACAGAAAGGAACAGUAUCAGAAACAAUGUUAUAUAGCGAAAACAUACUUAUAAUUAACACUUACAUCAGAGUAUCGCGGAACGGUAACUAAUCUUCAGGCUCAAUCUUCACACGGACGGUUGACUGGGGGUAACAUAUGCGUAGCACUUCUUGUAUUCUGAGAACGUCCUUCAUGAUUUCAUCGCUCUUCUGAUCAACUCUUACUAGUAAACUGGAGUGGUGGGAAAUAGCAAGAGUGAGCACAUAACGUACUCAACAAGUAUAACCAGGGGUUCAUGAGGCUCAAAUAGCUGACACUGGUUUGACUGCAUUUAGCUUUUAAUGGUGGAUAACAUGUUUAAUCAUUGGAUAGCAAAUAUCAAGGUAGCAUAAUUAAUCCCAUAACCACAUGAUCAAUGUAUACAAGAAUUAAGAAUAACACUUAUAAACAACAUAAUAAACCAUCAUUUAUCAUCAUUAAUCAUGUUCAUCAGUGUCCAUCUAUUCCGUCAGUUUUCCGGGCCGCCCGUAUCCAUGGGCACGGCUAGUAUACCAGAUUUAACACUCUGCAGAGGUUGUACAUCUUUACCCAUGAGUCAUGAUUUACCCUUUCGCCUGAGGUGAUCAGCCUCUUAACCUACUUCCAAGGAAGGUCGGCAGGGUUCACUAUGAAGUCUUUCAAAGGUUCGACUAACAUGUUAGGGCCGCAAGGUGUCCUUUGCGCGCAGAUAUAGAUACCCCCUUCCGAAUGGUACAAUGACGCGCAGCCUAUACACAUAGGGACAGGGGCUCGCACUAUACCCAAAACGGUUCAGCCCCUCCGCCCUUUCGGGUAACCUCUAACAAGCUAGAAAAGCUUACUCAUACUUGACUAAAGCCAGAGCCAUAUAGCCCUCAUGGUUGUACGAGUUGUUCCAGCUUUUGCCAAGGGAUAAGUCCUUAUGGAGGGUCAAGAUCAAUCCAGCAAAAGCCAGAGUUCUUUCCACCCUUUAUAUUCAAGUUGCUAGAAAGCUUAUUUUAUUGUUUAUUGUAUAUUCAAAUAUUCAUGUCACAAGAUCAUGGAUUAAUAAUCAAGCACUAGCAAGAACUACCCAAAUGCAUAUCCAAAUAGGUAACAAGGAAUUCAGGGUAACAAUCAUCUAUGAUUUUGCUAAGGUCAUCAAGGUGAUAGCAUGCAUAUGAUAAAUGUUAUAUUAAUUGUGUAUAGAUAACAAGGAUGAUCCCAAGUUAUACUUGCCUUGCUUUCCACUUAGGGUUAAAUGCUCCUAGAAAUCCUUCGGUCUUCUUUCUUGUAGCUUUUGUCCCCCAGCGCUCACAAACAGUUCUCGUCUACUCGUAGCAAACACCACACAUAAGCAAACAUACAAGCAACAAACAGAAAUAUCUAAUAACAAUACAUCAAUCAAAAUAAAAGCGUUAAAAGAGAGCGUACUAACGGCACGGCUCGAUGCUAAAUUAUCAUAAAAAGAAACGACUACCUAAAGUUUUGGAUAUUAUAAAAGAAACAACUAUAAUCUUAAUAUGUUUUAGUUAAGAAAAAUCAUUUGUCACCUACUAAUUCAGAUUAUAGUCAAUUUAUAUUUUAAUCUUUAAAAACAAAUUGGAUCUAAUUAUAUCUUAUUUAUGAACAUGUCUAUUAUUUAAUCAAUAAUCAUAUUUCAAUUAUAAGCAUGCACGCAUCAUUUUAAUCAAAGUAAACUUUAACUUUUCCAAGAACGUGUGAAAACAUCUAUUCAAAUUAUACAUGAUAAGUGUUGGAUAUGAUCAUAUUUUAUUCAUACAUAAUUUUAUAUCGUUUAUGCCGGUUAAACUAUAACUUGUAAAAUAAUAUAACAUGCUAACACUAAAAUAAGUUUAUGGUAUAUAUCGUGAUUGUCUAAGCAAAAUAUAAUUAAAACACAUUUCAAGUUACUAUUAGUUAAAUUCAUGCUCAUAUAAUUACAAAGGAUAGACAUGACAAACCUAUAUUAUUUUUAAUUAUAAAACUAACUACAAGCAUAUUAAACAAUUAAAUAUUUAGCAAUAUAUGGAAAACAUGUGACAUGAAAAACACUAGCACUAACGUGUAGACUACAUUGCUAUGAGUCUAACACAACUUGAACGGAUUAAAUCAGAGUUAAAACAAGUAUUUUAUAGCUAAAACAAGCUAGUGUAUUUUCUUUGUAUUUCUAGAUUUGUUUUUCUAAAGAAAAACGGCCACAAAACAUAGUGAUGUCAUCAUGUGACCGUCGUGACAUCAUCAAGCUAGCAAUUGUCCUUUGCUUCGUGUGGCAUAGAUAGGCAUGGUUCUGCUCUGGAGCAGCCGACACCAGUGAAGAAGGCCGGUGCAGCAGUCCUCCAUGAGCGAUGGCAAGAGCUUGCAGGAAAAGCACGAAUGGGGCCUAAAGACCAUGGAAAGAACACAGGAAGUAAGAGGAGGAGAUUGCGAGCUCACCUAGGACCUUUGUGCAGACUAAGAUGGCUCGAUGGCUUCACCUGGCUCGAUAGAGUGCAUGGCCGCAUCAGAUGAUCGUAUCACCAUGUGUAGAUCGAGGGCGAUCAGGAUGACGGAGGCAAAGAAGGAACGGCAUGCUAGCAUCCGAUCAGUGCUUCACGUGGCCAGACUAGGGGUCCUCCAACAAUUGCUCCGUGCCAAAAUCCUCCGGUGGUGGCAUCAAUUGGUUUGCUCUUGCGUUGCCAAAUUUUCUGCAGGUCGCGACUGCACGGCAAGGAUGGAGCAGGACAGAACGAUGCUGCAGCGUUGCCCUCGGAAAGCAAGAUCAAUCGAGAGGAUCGAGUCUCGAACCAAGCGAUGAGUACGGCGGGAGCAAUCAUGUAGAAUAGUUCGAUGGCAGCUUGGCGAAACCCUCUCAUAGCCGACUUUUCCUUUCUGCUUUGCUGAUUUCGGUAAGAUUGGAUGGAGGUCGAUCCAAUGGGAGGAGCGGCAGCUUGAUCAUAAUUGAUUGGCUUGGUUUUAGGGUUUAGAGAAGAAACGACGGCCUAGGCUUUCUAUUAAUAUAAACUAGCAAUGGUCAUAUGGCAAACGUAGUCAUCGAGAUUGAGAUGGAGUCCUUGACGUGCACGUCCUACAUCUUAGAUAGGGAGAGAUCAUCAAUGAUACAAGGAAAGGAAACUACUAAACUAGAAGAAAACCAACAUCUAAUUAAAUAAAGAAGAAAAUUAAGAGCAGUCGAUUGCUUCCUUCAGAGGAUCAUUAUUUUAUACUAUAUUAUAUCAUCACGUUAUGUGCAAGGAGCAAAUUGGAAGCCUAAGAUCGAACAAAAUCUAUAGGUGAAGGAUUAGCUAGGGUGAUGAUUUCUAAACGUAUUUUUGAAAACUCCGUACACUCAAACACAAAGUCAGGUACCAAACAAAUAUCACAUCACACCAAGCAAAAGCCUGUCAGGAUAAUUCAAGACAAUUUGGAAAUUCAUUUUUUUUAUAGAACUAAUUUACACUAAUUCAACUAAACUUGGCAAAUCUUAUACAAAUAUUAAAUUUAUUUUAUUUGUUUAGUGUUUUCUAUGCACAACCCAAAAUCAGAAAUUUUGGGGUGUGACAUCAUUUCUACUAGAUCAUACCUUUCCCUCCAUCGACUAAUAAUUUCUAUUUAAUUAUAGGAAAAACAUAGCCACAAUGAUGUUAUGUUGGAUAAAAGCAAGUGCACUAAUAAAAUCAAGGUGCUGAAUAAAUAACUCUCUGUCCUAUAAAGUCUAUCAGAUUAUUGAUCAAAUUGUUGUAUUUAAACUAGCACAUAUUACAGGUUGUGGCAAAGGAAACAUCUGCUAUUCCCUCAAAUUUUGAAGCAUCUGACUACCAAGUAAAUAUUAUUUUGGCAAUGAUAUUUUUUGUUACAUGCUUACUUUCCACUAUUGAGUUAUCUGUUUUGACUUGUAUCUAGCACAACAAGAUCUCAAAAAGGCCUAGUGCAACAUUAUCUGCUAGUGUAUAAGACACAUCUCUUCAAACUUCAUAUUAUCCGUUUCUUUAUUGUUCUUACAAUGGAGUCUAAGAAUCCUCAUAUAUACUUUUGUAGAAACAUCAUUGUGGCACAACAAAUUGGUCAACUGGCAAUUCAAUGAUA